rnacentral:rRNA from 1 species
AUUGAACGCUGGCGGCAGGCCUAACACAUGCAAGUCGAACGAGUGGCGGACGGGUGAGUAAUGUCUGGGAAACUGCCUGAUGGAGGGGGAUAACUACUGGAAACGGUAGCUAAUACCGCAUACCAUCGGAUGUGCCCAGAUGGGAUUAGCUAGUAGGUGGGGUAACGGCUCACCUAGGCGACGAUCCCUAGCUGGUCUGAGAGGAUGACCAGCCACACUGGAACUGAGAAACGGUCCAGACUCCUACGGGAGGCAGGCGUGGGGAAUAUUGCAAAAUGGGCGCAAGCCUGAUGCAGCCAUGCCGCGUGUAUGAAGAAGGCCCUCGGGGUGUAAAGGACUUUCAGCCGGGAGGCGUUACCCGCAGAAGAAGCACCGGCUAACUCCGUGCCAGCCGCCGCGGUAAUAC